UACGAAGGGUGCAAGCGUUACUCGGAAUUACUGGGCGUAAAGCGUGCGUAGGUGGUUUUUUAAGUCCGUUGUGAAAGCCCUGGGCUCAACCUGGGAAUGGCAGUGGAUACUGGAAAGCUAGAGUGCGGUAGAGGGUAGUGGAAUUCCCGGUGUAGCAGUGAAAUGCGUAGAUAUGCGGAGGAACACCGAUGGCGAAGGCAAUCCCCUGGGCCUGCACUGACGCUCAUGCACGAAAGCGUGGGGAGCAAACAGG
rnacentral:rRNA from 1 species